rnacentral:rRNA from 1 species
GAUGAACGCUGGCGGCGUGCCUAAUACAUGCAAGUCGAGCGAACGGACGAGAAGCUUGCUUCUCUGAUGUUAGCGGCGGACGGGUGAGUAACACGUGGAUAACCUACCUAUAAGACUGGGAUAACUUCGGGAAACCGGAGCUAAUACCGGAUAAUAUUUUGAACCGCAUGGUUCAAAAGUGAAAGACGGUCUUGCUGUCACUUAUAGAUGGAUCCGCGCUGCAUUAGCUAGUUGGUAAGGUAACGGCUUACCAAGGCAACGAUGCAUAGCCGACCUGAGAGGGUGAUCGCCCACACUGGAACUGAGACACGGUCCAGACUCCUACGGGAGGCAGCAGUAGGGAAUCUUCCGCAAUGGGCGAGAGCCUGACGGAGCAACGCCGCGUGAGUGAUGAAGGUCUUCGGAUCGUAAAACUCUGUUAUUAGGGAAGAACAUAUGUGUAAGUAACUGUGCACAUCUUGACGGUACCUAAUCAGAAAGCCACGGCUAACUACGUG